rnacentral:rRNA from 1 species
CCCUCCCUCUUUCUUCAUGCCUAACACAUGCAAGUCGAACGAGACCUUCGGGUCUAGUGGCGCACGGGUGCGUAACGCGUGGGAACCUGCCCUUAGGUUCGGAAUAACUCCCCGAAAGGGGUGCUAAUACCGGAUAAUGUCUUCGGACCAAAGAUUUAUCGCCUUUGGAUGGGCCCGCGUUGGAUUAGCUAGUUGGUAGGGUAAAAGCCUACCAAGGCGACGAUCCAUAGCUGGUCUGAGAGGAUGAUCAGCCACACUGGGACUGAGACACGGCCCAGACCCAGCGGGAAGGAGGGAUGGGGGAAGUUUGGAAAAGGGGCGAAGGGCGACUCCAGCAAGCCCGGGUGAGUGAUGAAGGCCUUAGGGUGGAAAAGCUCUUUUACCGGGGAUGAUAAGGAAAAUCCCGGGGGAAAAAGCCCGGGUGAACUCCGG